CCUACUAAAGCUUGUUAUUACUACUAAGAAGGAGAUUACAAGGAAAAAGAAGAGCAAAAGUUAGGGUUUUGAAGAUUUAAGAAAGUUGAAAAGAAUAUCGGGAAGGAACCCGAGGAACCGAGUCGAGGCUAAAGGACGACUCGUUUGAGAUACAGAGAUUAGAGGAGCAGCAGACUGAGCUGCUGAGGUGUGUGAAGUCAUCAGCUUGAAGUCUUCGGGUAUAAUUUAUACCCUAACUGUAAAUAUUUCUUUUGAUGUAUAUAUUGCACAUAAAUGUAUGGACAUGUACAUGGGUCUUGAGCAGCUUGUACAAAGUUUGUAUAAAAGUUGUAAUAAAUUUUAAU